rfam:Ciona savignyi cont_37899, whole genome shotgun sequence.
UCUCGGGCUUGGUUAGUACUUGGAUGGGUGACCGCUUGGGAAUACCAAGUGUGAUAAGCA